rnacentral:rRNA from 1 species
UACGGAGGGAGCUAGCGUUGUUCGGAAUUACUGGGCGUAAAGCGCACGUAGGCGGCUUUGUAAGUUAGAGGUGAAAGCCCGGGGCUCAACUCCGGAACUGCCUUUAAGACUGCAUCGCUUGAAUCCGGGAGAGGUGAGUGGAAUUCCGAGUGUAGAGGUGAAAUUCGUAGAUAUUGGGAAGAACACCAAUGGCGAAGGCAGCCAUCUGGACCGACACUGACGCUGAGGCGCGAAAGCGUGGGGAGCAAACAGG